rnacentral:rRNA from 1 species
CAAUAGCGUAUAUUAAAGUUGUUGCAGUUAAAAAGCUCGUAGUUGGACCUUGGACCUGGACAGGCGGUCCGCCUCACGGCGAGUACUGUCUUGCCGGGCCUUUCCUCUUGGUGAUCUGUUGUUUCGGCAGCAGGGAACCAGGACCUUUACUUUGAAAAAAUUAGAGUGUUCAAAGCAGGCUCGACGCCGGAAUAUAUUAGCAUGGAAUAAUAAAAUAGGACGUGCGGUUCUAUUUUGUUGGUUUUUGGAAUCGCCGUAAUGAUUAAUAGGGACAGUCGGGGGCAUUAGUACUCACAUGCUAGAGGUGAAAUUCUUGGAUUUUGUGAAGACUAACUUCUGCGAAANGANNNGCGAAGGAUGUUUUCGUNAA